rnacentral:lncRNA from 1 species
AUCGAUUUUCUUUUCAAUCAGUAGGGUUCUAAUUUCAGAUUGUCUCUCCAACUUGUUCAGAUUGAUAUUCCAAUAUGGCAAUUUCCAUUGCUCAAGAUACAAUGAUUAUUGCUGUAAUUUUGGUGUUAGAUGGAGACCCCCUUGCUCUUGGUGGGAGAGAAUUGACGUGUUCUUCGUUGCUGGCCUUCUUCUCAGGGGAAAUUGAUAUCGGU